rnacentral:lncRNA from 1 species
CACAGCACAGGCACUGAUCAAAGUUCUAGGUGUUUACCUGCACCCAGCCAUUAGCAGAGCACCUGCCUGCUGCUGCUGCCAGCACUAGGAACGCUGAGGAGACAGUACAGGAACAAAAGCAAGAUCAUAACUGGCUUCCAGAUGUUUCCCGUGAAUGUGACACAGAAGGAAGCAGGAACAGGAAUGGUGUGGAUGGUACCAGACGUUCCAACCCCUGCAUCAGCCCAUUAGCGGUGGGCAAUGAACACAGUGCUGUGCUGAGCCUCAGCAAUUAUGAUCCUGUUCCUGAUGAACAAACCAAACAGCUGUGCCUGUUUAUCUUAUUGAUCAUCUCUACACUUGCUAUGGUGACCUGCAAACACUUUCAGCAGUAUCCUGAGUCAACAUGUCUACGAAACUUUGUUAAAGAAGAGGAUCUCCUGGCUCAUGCACUGGAAAUGCUGC